ACAUAAAGAGGAAAAAAGAAUAGAGGCAGAAAGGUUUUUAAAUGGAUUUUUCCCCCUUUUUUUCUCUUGCCCCUAUCCGAAGUUUAAGGCCAUUUGCAUAAAAACAAUAUUAUUGUUAUUAUUUUUUCUUCCAAAAAUGUAGCUACUCUUUGUCUUUAAUUUCUUCUCCUGAAAACUGUGGACCAGUGCCUAAGACUGGUGUCAGGCACUGGAGGAGCAGAAUGCCUCGGAUUUGGAAGUUCAUCCAAACUUCAUGUAACUGCAGGCUGCUUGAGAUAGGAGCAAGCACGAUUACAACCCUGGUGGCGUUAGGGACAGGGCAGUGGGUCCUCAGCAGGAGCUUGAGUAGCUUCAGAUAAAUUAGGAAAGUGGCGGUGUACAAGGGAACUAUGCGGAGGUAUGAAGGAAAUGGAUUUUACUGUGGGUUGAUAAGCAUAUGCCUAUGUGAAUACGCUGAUUUCUGCAGAAUCGUGGAACAAAUAGUAGUUGAUACAGGCAGAUCCAGUGUUCGCUUUUUCUUUUUUUUUUUUUUUUUUUCCCCUCCCAGUCUCUAACUUCUCAGGUGUUUUUAACUCACAGGCACCCAAGACACUGUAAGCAGGGCUGCCUGACUUUUCAGGUGAGGAGGGAACAGCAGGAACAGAUGGAUUCCUCAGCACCAGAGGCUGGUUUCCAUGCAAAUACAGCUCGGUGACAAAGAACAAGGAGGCAAAAGCUGCUGAUAAAGGGUGUGGGAACUGGUGUCUGAAAGUUUCCUGAGGCUCUGGUGAAUCUGUAACAGGUGGCAGCCAAAUGGAACUGCUUUCUAAUCAGAAGGGACUGUUUUGUGAUUUUUUUUUCUAUGUUUUUUUUAAGUACAGCCUAAGUCACUGAACAAAGCAGAGAGAAGUUCCUAACAGCAUCUGGUGGAAUGCAAAUGCACUGUUGUUACCAGGCACAUUAUAGCCAGCUUACCCACCCUCAAAGAGGAGGAAGAAGGCACCACAAUUUGCAUAUAGAUAAGGUGCCAGCCCAGCCCGCCCUCACGUCCCAUAGGAAGAAGGAGCCUUCUGCAGCUGUGAUUGCCUUCUUAACCCUGCCUGCGAUGGAUUCAGCGUUGGCUCAAGGAGUGUAGCAUUACUCACUGAAAAGCCAAGUCACAAGCAUUUCUCUUCCUAAUGUACUGUGGAUUUUGUUUUCCCUUGAGAUCUCCCGCCCAAGUACUGACCAAUGCUUGACCCUGCUUAGUUUAUGAGAGGUCGACAAGAUGUAAAUCCAGAGCAAAAAAUUUCCUGGGCCUAUUUGUC
rnacentral:lncRNA from 1 species